rnacentral:rRNA from 1 species
GUGGCAGCAGCCGCGGUAAAACCAGCACCUCAAGUGGUCAGGAUGAUUAUUGGGCCUAAAGCAUCCGUAGCCGGCUUUGUAAGUUUUCGGUUAAAUCUAUAUGCUCAACAUAUGGGCCGCCGGGAAUACUGCAAAGCUAGGGAGUGGGAGAGGUAGACGGUACUCCGUAGGAAGGGGUAAAAUCCUUUGAUCUAUGGAUGACCACCUGUGGCGAAGGCGGUCUACCAGAACACGUCCGACGGUGAGGGAUGAAAGCUGGGGGAGCAAACCGGAUUAGAUACCCGGGUAGUCCCAGCUGUAAACUAUGCAAACUCAGUGAUGCAUUGGCUUGUGGCCAGUGCAGUGCCGCAGGGAAGCCGUUAAGUUUGCCGCCUGGGAAGUACAUACGCAAGUAUGAAACUUAAAGGAAUUGGCGGGGGAGCACCACAAGGGGUGAAGCCUGCGGUUCAAUUGGAGUCAACGCCAGAAAUCUUACCCGGAGAGACAGCAGGAUGAAGGUCAAGCUGAAGACUUUACCAGACAAGCUGAGAAGUGGUGCAUGGCCGUCGCCAGCUCGUGCCGUGGGAUGUCCUGUUAAGUCAGGUAACGAGCGAGAUCCUUGCCUCUAGUUGCCACCAUUACUCUCAGGAGUAGUGGGGCGAAUUAGCGGGACUGCCGUAGUUAAUACGGAGGAAGGAGAGGGCCACGGCAGGUCAGUAUGCCCUGAAACUCUGGGGCCACACGCGGGCUGCAAUGGUAGUGACAAUGUGUUCCGAAUCCGAGAGGAGGAGGUAAUCCUCAAACGCUACCACAGUUAUGACUGAGGGCUGCAACUCGCCCUCACGAAUAUGGAAUCCCUAGUAACUGCGUGUCAUUAUCGCGCGGUGAAUACGUCCCUGCUCCU